rnacentral:rRNA from 1 species
ACUGAUGGCCAUGCCACCCUGAACAAGUCCGAUGUCUGAUCUCUCAAGCUAAACAAGGUCGGGCCUGGUUAGUACUUGGAUGAGAGACCACCUAGGAAGACGAGGUGCUGUAGACA